CACCACCACCACCACCACCAGGCCAUAGAGUGAAGCGUUGCAGAAUCAAUAAUGCUAUGUGUGAGGACCCAUACAGCUCCGGAGUCUGCUGGUUGUCUGUUCUACCUGAUCAUUCAUUUCCCCCACCUGGUGUCCCAGGUCUAAACCAGUCCCUGAUUAGAGGGGAAUCACCCACCUGGUGUCCCAGGUCUAAAUCAGUCCCUGAUUAGAGGGGAAUCACCCACCUGGUGUCCCAGGUCUAAAUCAGUCCCUGAUUAGAGGAGAAUCACCCACCUGGUGUCCCAGGUCUAAAUCAGUCCCUGAUUAGAGGGGAACCACCCACCCGGUGUCCCAGGUCUAAAUCAGUCCCUGAUUAGAGGGGAAUCACCCACCUGGUGUCCCUGGUCUAAACCAGUCCCUGAUUAGAGGGGAAUCACCCACCUGGUGUCCCAGGUCUAAAUCAGUCCCUGAUUAGAGGGGAAUCACCCACCUGGUGUCCCAGGUCUAAAUCAGUCCCUGAUUAGAGGGGGAAUCACCCACCUGGUGUCCCAGGUCUAAAUCAGUCCCUGAUUAGAGGUGAAUCACCCACUUGGUGUCCCAGGUCUAAAUCAGUCCCUGAUUAGAGGUGAAUCACCCACUUGGUGUCCCAGGUCUAAAUCAGUCCCUGAUUAGAGGUGAAUCACCCACUUGGUGUCCCAGGUCUAAACCAGUCCCUGAUUAGAGGGCCACUAUGGGGGAAAGCAGUGGAACUGGCAUCUAGGUCCAGAGUUGAGUUUGAGAGGCCUCGUGGUUCAGUCGGAAAGGACAUGAUGACAUCCACUAAUUUACCAUGUGACCACUUACACAACUCAGAAGGUCAAGAGAACCAUCAGAGACUCUCCUGGUUAAACCAAAUCAAUUAGUCAAAUCAAGUCCUGACUUUCAGUCAUCGAUGUAGGCCAGGCCACACAUCCCUCAGUAAUGCACUGUAUCCUCUAACUCCCUUAUGUCAGUCUCUGGUAAAUACAGCACAUCAGUAUAUAUAUAUAUAUGCUUACGUUCCAAAUCCCACCCUAUUUCCUAUAUAGUGCACUACAUUUGAUCAGGGCCCAUAGGGGAAUAGGGUGCCAAUUGAAACGCAUUCCUAUAUCUUAGCCACUUGGCCCUCGAGCACAAUCUCCUCACACAUUAAAGUGAUUGGCAGUUCUAUUAGAAAUCGUUUGAAAGGCUUGAGGAGCUGGGGUUUGCAAUUUGUCAGUCGUACUACAAGAUGACAGAUCCUCAACUAGGUCAGUGAGUUUUGCUAGAUGCGUUUCUCAAAGCCUGAUGACUUGUUUUACAGGCCAUGCCUGUAUGUAGAUGCCUGACUUGCCUAGUUAAAUAUAAAGGUUAGAAAAUGUAGAUUUAUUUCAUGCCAAUGUACUGGUUUAUACAGUGUCUUUGACUUUUUCCACAUUUUGUUACGUUUCAGCCUUAUUCUAAAAUGUAUUAAAAUCCCUUUUUUUCUCAUCAAUCUACACACAAUACCCUAUAAUGACAAAACAAGACAUUUUUUGCAACUGUAUUAAUAAUAAAAACAGAUGUACCUUA